ACAGGUGGUGCAUGGUUGUCGUCAGCUCGUGUCGUGAGAUGUUGGGUUAAGUCCCGCAACGAGCGCAACCCCUGUGGUUAGUUGCCAUCAUUUAGUUGGGCACUCUAAGCAGACUGCCGUGGAUAACACGGAGGAAGGUGGGGAUGACGUCAAAUCAUCAUGCCCCUUAUGACCUGGGCUACACACGUGCUACAAUGGUCUGAACAGAGGGCUGCGAAACCGCAAGGUGAAGCCAAUCCCUUAAAACAGAUCUCAGUUCGGAUUGCAGGCUGAAACUCGCCUGCAUGAAGUUGGAGUUGCUAGUAAUCGCGGAUCAGAAUGCCGCGGUGAAUGCGUUCCCGGGUCUUGUACACACCGCCCGUCACACCACGAGAGUUGGCAACACCCGAAGUCAGUGAGACAACCGUAAGGAGACAGCUGCCGAAGGUGGGGUCGGUAAUUGGGGUGAAGUCGUAACAAGGUAGCCGUAUCGGAAGGUGC
rnacentral:rRNA from 1 species